rnacentral:rRNA from 1 species
GCCUGCCAGUGACCACAAGUUUAACGGCCGCGGUAUUUUGACCGUGCAAAGGUAGCGCAAUCACUUGUCUUUUAAAUAAAGACCUGUAUGAAUGGCUAAACGAGGGCUUAACUGUCUCCCAUUUCUAGUCAGUGAAAUUGAUUUACCCGUGCAGAAGCGGGCAUAAAAAUACAAGACGAGAAGACCCUUUGGAGCUUAAGGUACAAAAUUUCAACCACGUCAAAAGACUCAAUAAAAAGCAACCUAAACCUUGUGGUAAUUGAAACCCUACCUUCGGUUGGGGCGACCACGGAGGAAAAUAAAGCCUCCAGGUGGAUUAGGGCCAACCCUCCCUAAAACCAAGAGAGACAUCUCUAAGCAACAGAACAUCUGACCAUAUAUGAUCCGACCAGUUAGGUCGAUCAACGAACCAAGUUACCCUAGGGAUAACAGCGCAAUCCUCUCCCAGAGUCCAUAUCGACGAGGGG